AUAUUUACCUGGACGGGGUUAAUAGAUUGUUAUCAAGGUUCAUGGCCUAGGUAAGUGACCUCCAUUGCACUUGGGAGGAGCGCUCACCAAUGGUCUCUCACUAUAGGAGAGCCUACGUUAUAAUUUGUGGUAAUGGGUAGGGUUGAGCAACGAAACCGA